rnacentral:lncRNA from 1 species
AUAUUUCAAUUUUGGUGCUUAAAAAAAAAAAGUUUGGAAUAUAUAUUGCCUUGGGAAAAUGCUAUUAGCAAUGACUGAGUGGCAGAUGUAGAUGCUUACUAAGAUCUAACUCAAUGCAUCCUCUCUAUUGCAUGCAUUAUGUAUUUUCGCCUUUCUAAUUCAUAUAGCAGCUGACUUUUUUGCAUUAAGGCUAAGGAUUAUUGCAAGCUGAAUAAAAUCGGUGGAGUAUAAACACAUAUCCAAAGAUGAAAAGGAGAAAUCUGUUUUCAAAAAACAAAAAAGUGCAUGUUGUUCCUCCUGGAUGUCAGCUGGUUGAUCGCAUCAUGUGAAGUGGAUAACAUCAUUAAAAGGGAAAUGAACAAAUUCAUGAGAUGCAAAUGGAUAAAUCUUGCCAUGAAUGCAGGCCUUUAAAAGUAUCUGCUGAGGAGUGGGAAAAUAACAAAACUGUGCUUAUGAGAUUCAUGGAGAGGACGGGAAUGGUUCCGACUCAGGCUAAGCAAGGGGCUUCUUAGAAAUGCGGUGUAUGACAAAUCUGCUGCCACGUGGCUGACCUGGCAAAGGUGUCUGCCUGGGGGGAAGAGCCAAGGCAACCUGUAGCUCUUGGCAACGUCUUCAGCCUGAGCAGGACGUGCUCACGAUGUUCAACUACUGGGCUGGGGGCGUCAGUGAACGUGCUGUGGGAGACGCUUCAAGUGGAACAAACCUUCGCACGUUGCGCCUUGUAUUUUAAUGGUAGGGAUAAAGAGGAUGGAAGCAUAGCUGAUAUUUAGUGAGACUUUUCACUCUAACUGCCUUCUGUUUUGUAGGCUGCUGACUUAAGAGAUCCGAAGUAGUUCAGUUGUGUUUAGGUUUCACUUGCAUGACUGAGUAGGAGGUAGAUUUUACUAAUUGUUUUUAGUCAGAAUAAUGAGGAAUUUUUCUGUUGCUGUGACUCGUGCAGUGAUAUAACUUCUUUGGCAUCAGAUUUAUGUGUUUUUCUAAAAAGAAAUCUAUUAGAAACACUAUGAGUAGUAGCUAAUUGGACAUUUCGUAAAGAUUUUGCUUGCUGGCAGAUGGAUGAUAUGACACAUGUAAUGUAUAUGCAGUAUUGCCAACUGUAGGCAUUAAAAUCAUGAGUCAGACCGUUAAAAGUCUUGAGAGUGAUUAAGAAAAUGUGAAGAUUGUCUCCUGUUUUUUGAGCCCCUCGGGUAACGUGAGUCAAGCUUGCAACAAGAAUUGCUCGAGACUUUAGAAAGGAAAGCUGAGUUUUUUGGCUAAUCACAUCUUUUAGAGUUGGGAGUUCUAGGGAAGGGAAAAAAAAAGGCACAAAACCUUGCAAGACUGGCAAUAAAAUGAUGAUUUGGCAAUGCUCUAAUAGAGCA